GACGAGCGCUGGCGGCGUGCUUAACACAUGCAAGUCGAACGGAAAGGCCCUGCUUGCAGGGUACUCGAGUGGCGAACGGGUGAGUAACACGUGGGUGAUCUGCCCUGCACUUCGGGAUAAGCCUGGGAAACUGGGUCUAAUACCGGAUAGGAGCCAUUUUUAGUGUGAUGGUUGGAAAGUUUUUUCGGUGUAGGAUGAGCUCGCGGCCUAUCAGCUUGUUGGUGGGGUAAUGGUCUACCAAGGCGGCGACGGGUAGCCGGCCUGAGAGGGUGGACGGCCACAUUGGGACUGAGAUACGGCCCAGACGCCUACGGGAGGCAGCAGUGGGGAAGAUUGCACAAUGGGCGCAAGCCUGAUGCAGCGACGCCGCGUGGGGGAUGACGGCCUUCGGGUUGUAAACUCCUUUCGCUAGGGACGAAGCUUUUUGUGACGGUACCUAGAGAAGAAGCACCGGCUAACUACGUG
rnacentral:rRNA from 1 species